AUAGGUCUAUCAGUAGUUAAUACAGUAUAAUGAGCUCUGUGAUAGGUCUAUCAGUAGUUAAUACAGUAUAACAAGCUCUGUGAUAGGUCUAUCAGUAGUUAAUACAGUAUAACAAGCUCUGUGAUAGGUCUAUCAGUAGUUAAUACAGUAUAACUAGCUCUGUGAUAGGUCUAUCAGUAGUUAAUACAGUAUAACUAGCUCUGUGAUAGGUCUAUCAGUAGUUAAUACAGUAUAACUAGCUCUGUGAUAGGUCUAUCAGUAGUUA